UGGGGAAUCUUGGACAAUGGGCGCAAGCCUGAUCCAGCCAUGCCGCGUGAGCGAUGAAGGCCUUAGGGUUGUAAAGCUCUUUCACCGGUGAAGAUAAUGACGGUAGCCGGAGAAGAAGCCCCGGCUAACUCCGUGCCAGCAGCCGCGGUAAUACGGAGGGGGCUAGCGUUGUUCGGAAUUACUGGGCGUAAAGCGCGCGUAGGCGGACUGAUCAGUCAGGGGUGAAAUCCCGGGGCUCAACCCCGGAACUGCCUCCAAAACUAUUGGUCUAGAGUUCGAGAGAGGUGAGUGGAAUUCCAAGUGUAGAGGUGAAAUUCGUAGAUAUUUGGAGGAACACCAGUGGCGAAGGCGGCUCACUGGCUCGAUACUGACGCUGAGGUGCGAAAGUGUGGGGAGCAAACAGGAUUAGAUACCCUGGUAGUCCACACCGUAAACGAUGAAUGCCAGUCGUCGGGUAGCAUGCUAUUCGGUGACACACCUAACGGAUUAAGCAUUCCGCCU
rnacentral:rRNA from 1 species